UAGGGAAUCUUCGGCAAUGGACGAAAGUCUGACCGAGCAACGCCGCGUGAGUGAAGAAGGUUUUCGGAUCGUAAAACUCUGUUGUUAGAGAAGAACAAGGACGUUAGUAACUGAACGUCCCCUGACGGUAUCUAACCAGAAAGCCACGGCUAACUACGUGCCAGCAGCCGCGGUAAUACGUAGGUGGCAAGCGUUGUCCGGAUUUAUUGGGCGUAAAGCGAGCGCAGGCGGUUUCUUAAGUCUGAUGUGAAAGCCCCCGGCUCAACCGGGGAGGGUCAUUUGAAACUGGGAGACUUGAGUGCAGAAGAGGAGAGUGGAAUUCCAUGUGUAGCGGUGAAAUGCGUAGAUAUAUGGAGGAACACCAGUGGCGAAGGCGGCUCUCUGGUCUGUAACUGACGAUGAGGCUCGAAAGCGUGGGGAGCAAACAGG
rnacentral:rRNA from 1 species